UGGGGAAUAUUGCACAAUGGGCGAAAGCCUGAUGCAGCGACGCCGCGUGAGGGAUGAAGGCCUUCGGGUUGUAAACCUCUUCCAGCAGGGAAGAAGCGCAAGUGACGGUACCUGCAGAAGAAGCGCCGGCUAACUACGUGCCAGCAGCCGCGGUAAUACGUAGGGCGCAAGCGUUGUCCGGAAUUAUUGGGCGUAAAGAGCUCGUAGGCGGUUUGUCGCGUCUGGUGUGAAAACUCAAGGCUCAACCUUGAGCUUGCAUCGGGUACGGGCAGACUAGAGUGCGGUAGGGGUGACUGGAAUUCCUGGUGUAGCGGUGGAAUGCGCAGAUAUCAGGAGGAACACCGAUGGCGAAGGCAGGUCACUGGGCCGCAACUGACGCUGAGGAGCGAAAGCAUGGGGAGCGAAC
rnacentral:rRNA from 1 species